AACCUUAUGUGGUGGGUGUGAGGUCGAAUUUGUGUUUAGUCCAUCAAUACUUAUGAUUUUCUGUUUCAUGUUUUGUUUGAAUUUAUCGACGACGCUAAUUUUUGUUAUCACAUUUGCAAGGAGUUUAGUUCAGCCUUUAGGAUUCGAUACAAGACAACAUAAUGGUGGUCUCGGUGUAUGUACACCUUUGAUGUACACGUAUACACGUGCUAUACCAAAAUAUCUGUAUGAAGCUCCGUCAUGCACCGUCAGUGCUAGCACAACUGAAGCUGCGUUGGAACCAGAACUAACCAAUUGAUCCCAACCGGAUACCGAUGCCUAUCUACUACCUGUGGAAAUGAUUUCUAGUAACAACCUGCAAUUGGUAAUUGGAUAACUGAUUGUGGACUCGAAGCACGAACUUCAGUGGGCAUUUAAUGUGCCAAAACAUACUCGGGUUAUUGUUUCCAAAUUCAAUAUGCCAGUGAAAACAAAAGGGUUUUCAUAGUGUUUUCACAUUUUAAUGCAGCAUGUGUGAUGAAAUUUGGCACCAUUGUUCUGAAAGGGAUAACACAAACAUAAUAUGCUUUAUGUGGGCAAUCAUAACAGCUUGCAGAUAUUACACGCGAGUGGCUCAUAUGAUAAUCUUUGUGGACUCGCCAAAUAUGGCUGGUAUUAUAUUUCUUGCAAUUGAAAAACGACAAUACAUGGGACAAAUAAUUGACUGCGGAAAUAAAGAAACCUGGUGACUAAGAUAGAUUUAUUGCCAGUGUAAAAAGGCUUGAAUUAUCAGCAAUAACAAAAAAGCCUAUUUAUUGGUUUCAAAAAUAAAUACUGUUUCACAAUAGGACAAUAUUAUGAAUUGAAAAGAAUAGAUUUAAACAGACCUAGUUGCUGUAAAAAUUACAGAGCCGUUUACGGCAAUGGAAUCUAAAAUAAAAAUUUCAAGAGUGAAGAAAUGCAUAGUCUCCAUUAUUUAAAUUUUAUUAGAGAUGGAGAUUCUUCUGUGUUUGCUAAUGUGAAAGAAAAAGUACAACAUGGGAACUAAAUAAAAAAUUGACACCAGUGCACAAGAUUUUAGCUAAUACAAAGCUUCCACACUAUGGAUGAAAUAUUUUGAAACCAAGGUUACUGAAGAACUACUGUGCAAUAAAUUAUUGUACGU